rnacentral:rRNA from 1 species
CCUACGGGAGGCAGCAGUGAGGAAUAUUGGUCAAUGGGCGCGAGCCUGAACCAGCCAAGUCGCGUGAGGGAGGACGGCCCUACGGGUUGUAAACCUCUUUUGCCGGGGAGCAACGGGCGUCACGUGUGGCGCCACUGAGAGUACCCGGAGAUAAAGCAUCGGCUAACUCCGUGCCAGCAGCCGCGGUAAUACGGAGGAUGCGAGCGUUAUCCGGAUUUAUUGGGUUUAAAGGGUGCGUAGGCGGAUCGUUAAGUCAGUGGUCAAAUGGAGGGGCUAAACCCCUUCCCGCCAUUGAAACUGGCGCUCUUGAGUGGAAGAGAAGUAUGCGGAAGGCGGGGUGUAGCGGUGAAAUGCAUAGAUAUCACGCAGAACCCCGAUGGCGAAGGCAGCAUGCCGGCUUCCGACUGACGCUGAAGCACGAAGGCCAGGGGAGCGAAAGGGAUUAGAUACCCUUGUAGUC